CCAGCCACAGGGAAGGGGACUCGAACAUUGCUCGGAGAUAGCUCAGGCAAGGCGUCAAGGUGGGCAAGCAGGGUUCCACUCGAAAAUCGGGCUAGGCAGGUGCGCAAGGAGUAUGCUUCAGCUAGGACAAACCGGACAAUAGUUAGCAAAAGCGCGUGACAACCUCCGUGGAAGCAUAGAUACAACCUCGCAGGCGUAGAAGGGGGGGAUAACUGGUGAGAGAGGAUCUCG
rnacentral:lncRNA from 1 species